rnacentral:lncRNA from 1 species
AUGAUUGGUUUAUUUGUGCUCCAAAACAAAGUACACUUAGGUGCUAAAUGUUUAGCCAUUGCAAACACAUUUUUCAGCAUUUUAAAACUUACUUCUCAAAUAUUUGUGGAUUUCCAGGGUCAGGCUGGCAGCAGGCACGGAAACCGGGGAAGGAGACAAGCCAAGAAAGCUGCAUCCACAGACCUUGGAGCAGGAGAAGCAGUUGUUGGGAAGGUCUUGGAAGUUACUGAACUACCAGAUGGAAUAACUCGCAUGGAAGCUGAGAAACUUUUUGGGGAACUCUUCAAAAUUGGCGCCAAGAUCCGAUGGCUCCGGGACCCCCAGUCACAGCCCCAGCUGCGUCGUCAUGCCGUCUGCUGUGGCAGUGGGGACAGCACUGUCAACCCUGAACGCUCUAAACCCAAUGACUUGGCCUCUACAUACACUGUCUUAGCCACAUUCCCCUCCAUUUCAGCUGCACAAAAUGCACUGAAGAAACAAAUUAACUCAGUUAACAAGUUUAAGCUGAGAACAAGCAAGAAGCACUAUGACUUUCACAUUUUGGAAAGGGCAAGUUCUCAGUAACACAACUACCUUUGGACCCUUAACCUCUGAUUGCCCUGCCCUCUCCCAACUCUAAUUGGCUUGGUAUUUGGAGCUUCUGUUAACAUUUAGAGACUCCCAGGAUGUGUGGUCAUGGGGUUAUAGCUUUUGGAAAAAAGCCAGUGAUCCAGCAAAGAGGGAAAAAGAGAUACACAUUUUACCCUACUGAUUAUAGAAAUCCACACCAGAAUGAUAGUUAGCAGCUUUUUCUAAGGAAAUGCUGUUCAAAUGCCUCCUAACUUUUAUAGUUAUUUUGUUUUAUAUUUCUGAAUUCUUGUAUCAGAUCCAAAGCUCUAUUGUACAGCAAAUUAUUCUUCAAAAUUACUAUAACCAGUUGCAACCUGUAUUUCUUUUUGCAGCCAGCACAGUGUGACCCAACUUAGGAUUUGGGGGGGAAAGAAUGCAGACAUGGAAUAAUCAAGUCAAAGACCAUGUACUGUUCUUUUGGGGGGCUGAGGGUGCUAAAAGCCCACAAAUAAAAGAUGACUCUUCCCGUGAAUCUCUAAACAGAAACAUUUUCCAGAAAAUACAGAACUCCUCCAUAGGGUCCUUUCCUUAUUCAUUUAGGUAGUAUGGAUGUUAAGUGUAAAGUAAAUUAUGUUCUUAAUGCCCUUAAUCAAACCACUUAAAUUCAAAGGGGAAUGGGAAUCAUCCAAGUCAGGAAAAUACUCUCACUUUUUUUUUUUUAAGUGUCCCUCCAAUAACCAGUUGCCACUUAUUUGAAUUCCCCUCCUUGUGGAUUUCUUGUCACCUAUGGAAAUAUAUUCCAUGAGUGCUGGAGACUUCUUAAGUGGUUUAAAAUUUGUUUCCAUUGUUUGCAGAUUACUGGACAUCAGAGAUUCAUUGCACUUACGAACAAGGAACCUUCUUUUCAAUUUCUGUGUAAUUUGCAAGGCUGUACAAUGUGUACUGAUGCAAGCCUUUUUCAGUUCAAGAGAAUAAAUGUUUACAAAUACAGGCCUAUUUUGUCUUUGUUUUCAUGAAAAACACCUUUAUAAUCAGCAACUAUCAUAGUACAUUAUUGUUUGGUUAGACAAUUUGUUUUUAUCUUAUAUAUUUCACAACAGUUGACCACGUUAGCUCAGAUGAUUCCUAGAUAUCUUCCCGAACAUUGGUCAUCCAGAGUCACCCUGCUGGAAAAUCUUAAAAGGUGGAGUCUGCCAGCUGCAACUUGCCUUUAGCCUAAUUUGCUCCAUGCCAGAUUAUGCUGCUGUGAAACUGAAGAACACCAGGUGUUAAUCAGACUCUGUUACAGACUUGCACCCUAGAGUAUUUGCAGUCUCUCAUGGGCCCAGUGAAUGCCAAGGCUCUUUCUUAUAGUCACAGCUGCUCAAGAACCUGAGACAGGAAGAUCACUUGAGUCUAGAAGUUCAAGACUACCCUGGACAACAGAUUCUGUGUUUAAAAAAAAAAAAAAUUUCACAUUUUUGACCAGAUAUAUAAAGAACUACAGUGGUUAUGACUGGCCUGACAUAUGAACAACUUGGGUUAAUU